rnacentral:rRNA from 1 species
GACGAACGCUGGCGGCGUGCCUAAUACAUGCAAGUUGAGCGAUGAAGAUUGGUGCUUGCCCCAAUUUGAAGAGCAGCGAACGGGUGAGUAACGCGUGGGGAAUCUGCCUUUGAGCGGGGGACAACAUUUGGAAACGAAUGCUAAUACCGCAUAAUAACUUUAAACAUAAGUUUUAAGUUUGAAAGAUGCAAUUGCAUCACUCAAAGAUGAUCCCGCGUUGUAUUAGCUAGUUGGUGAGGUAAAGGCUCACCAAGGCGAUGAUACAUAGCCGACCUGAGAGGGUGAUCGGCCACAUUGGGACUGAGACACGGCCCAAACUCCUACGGGAGGCAGCAGUAGGGAAUCUUCGGCAAUAGACGAAAGUCUGACCGAGCAACGCCGCGUGAGUGAAGAAGGUUGUCGGAUCGUAAAACUCUGUUGGUAGAGAAGAACGUUGGUGAGAGUGGAAAGCUCAUCAAGUGACGGUAACUACCCAGAAAGGGACGGCUAACUACGUG